CAAAAAGCUUUGAAAACAUGGAUGAUUUCAUCUUGUGAGAAUUAUGAAAUUGAAUUUGAAACCCGGUCUGCCUGCAGCAAAACGAAUUGAGAUGAAAGGGUGUUCGAAUGAGUUUGAGAUAAGGGAAUAGAAGAGAAGGAUGAAGAAAAAAGAAGGGUUUCAAUAUUGUUGUUGUGUUGUGUUUGUUGCUGGGUUGUUGUUGCUCCUCUUUUUGUUGAUGGGUUGUUGUUGGUGUGUUGCUGGAAAAAUGUGUUGUUGAUGAAGAACAAAGAGAAAGGAGAUGGAAGGGGAGGGAGAGGAUGGUGGUUACGUGAAGGAGAAGA
rnacentral:lncRNA from 1 species